AAUGAUAUAGUCCGAUCUCAUAAGUGAUUAUG
rnacentral:autocatalytically_spliced_intron from 2 species